rnacentral:lncRNA from 1 species
AAUUGGUAUACUUCUUGAUGUUCAUUUAAAAUCCAUCCAUUGAAGUCUGAGUUCCCUGAGAAACAGAAUCAGAACUCUUGCCAGUUGGACUGCAAGGUGUCUUCAUCUACGUAUGCUGUCAUAAAAAACACUAUGGACUAUGGGGCAAGAAAAAUGUAAUAUUUUUCUCUCACGGUUUUGGAGACUGGAAAGUUCAAGUGUCCAGCGGGGCUCAUUUUCUGUUGGGGGCUCUCUUUCUGGCAUGCAGAUGCUUCCUUCUCACUGUGUCCUCGCAUGGUGGCAAGAGAACAACCUCAGGUGUCUCUUUCUCUUUCAAAGGCACCAGUUCUCUCAGAUCAGGGCUUCACCGUUAUGAUCUCUCUUAAUCUUAAUCUCUUCUUCAAGGUCAUAUUUCCAACAUAGUCACACGGAGGCUUAGGGCUUUUAACAUAUACGUAUGAAUUUUGGGGGACACCAUUCAGUCCAUACCAAAAGGCCAGCUUCUGAUAUUCCCACAUCAGUCAGUGAUUGGAUAUAGACCAAUGGGAAUGUGUGAUAUCCUUGGAUCAUCUGAGGCAAUCUCCAAAAAGGCUGAAAACCGAGGGCUGCUUACCGCUGGCACCCUGAGCAGCAUACACCACAUGCUCCAUCAGUGUUACUGCCCUCAGCUGGGGAGAACCCCCUCACACAAGUUGUGAUACCUUCCUAGAGGCAGCCUGCAUUCAAUGACAGCUUGAGAGGGGCGUAAAGGGCCAGCCACUCUGACCUGAUUCAGGACAGUUCUGCAAGGCUCUCCAAGCUCCAGAAUUCCUAUACUGUUUCCUGAACCUUUGUUGUCACUGUUUCCCAAACUACUUUUCUUUUUGCCAAUCCUGUCCCUUUCCCUCUCCUACUACAGAUGUUGGUCACUCGAAUACUCCCCAGCACACUUCUAUGAAUGAAUCUUUGUCUCAGAGAUUGCUCCCCAAGG